ensembl:lncRNA
UUUUUUUUUUUUAAAUAGAGACAUGGUUUUGCCAUAUUGCCCAGGUUGGUCUUGAACUCCUGGGCUCAAGCGAUCCUCCUACCUCGGCCUCCUUAAGUGUGGGGAUUACAAGUGUCAGCCACUGAACCUGGUCUUUGUGUGUUUUUUUUAGACAGGGUCUCACUCUGUCACCCAGGCUGGAGUAUGGUGGUGCAAGUGGUGCAGCCGUAGCUCGCUGCAGCCUAAUUGUUUUGUAUUUGUCAUAGAGGCAGAGUCUUGCUGUGUUGCCCAGGCUGGUCUCGAACUCCUGGGCUCAAGCCAUCCACCGACCUUGGCCUCCUACAGUGCUGGGAUCACAGGCGUGAGUCACCGCGUCCGGCCAAUGCCGACGUUUUUGAGGAGCAAUUGAGGGAUUUGGCUUGUUCCUUUGACUCUGAGACCGGAGGACAGACCAAAAGCUGGGAGGAGAUUCAGCAGUGUGGCCCUCCUCGGGGUGUGAGAUGCCCCUCCUCAGAUUUGGAGAUGCCGGAAAACAAAGCCCAGGAAACACCGGUGUGGGGCCCAGGGCUCCAGGUUCUGUGUCCCAGUGAGCCUGUUAAUUCUCAGUCUUAAAAUGUCUUAUAAAUUAAAGCAGGGAAAAGUACAUUUCCACCAUCUGUGACAAAGCACCUUCUUGAAAUAAGCCACCAGUUAAAGAGUAAAAUUGGGAUUCCUGGAAGAGACACCUCAGUGUUAGACGCCAUCAGGGCAGGGGCUUUGAACAAAACUUCCGGAACGUAUGUGCGUGGCUGUGAUGCUGCAGGACCGUCGGAAGACAAAGAACUUCUCUAUCUGGUUCCCACCUAAUAGCCUUUACAAUAAAGAGGAAAUCAACCUUCUCCUUGCCUGGCUACCAGAGUUUAAACUUACUCAGCUAACGUGAUCAAUAAAACCAAAUGUCUUUCUGAAUAUCAGCUGGAGAAUUUUCAGCACUCAGGAUUGAAUGGAAAAACGCCUCUCCUUUUGUUCAAAUAGCCGAUAUUACUGCAAUGUUGACAGAGGGAAAAAACCCAUGUCUAGUUUUCAAUAUAGAUAAUCCCUAAAUAAAUAUAUUUUUGUCCAUUUGUCAAUCACUGAAAUACCACAGAUCCGCGGGGAAGGUCUUGGAAAAAGGCUGCCGUUCUUUAGCCGGGAGAUGCAACCCGUUCUCUCAGUCCAGGCAGCGGCCUCCAGGCCACAGUGGAAGGAGGGACAGGUCUCUGGUGUGCUGACGACACCUCAGGCUGUCCCUGCAGGCGUGCCGGCGUCAGGCAGGGAACAGGACCGCCCUUGCCUGUUUUGGACGCUUUGGUUUUCCUCUGUGAUGUGACCUGUGAGGAGUUACAUGAAGCCUGCGGCAAAGUCCUCAGCUACCACCCGGCCUGGCCUCCGCAGCUCUGCAGGGCCGGCUCUCAGGCCUGCUGUGGGAUCGUCUGGGAGCUUUGAGGAUCUCCAGAGACCUGGCUGCCCCAGGGAUUUUGGUGUGACUGGGGAGUCAGUGCGGCCAUCAGCUUUCGCGGUGCCGCCCACGUGAUUCUCAUGGGAGCCGGGGUUGAGGACGUCGGCAGCGAAGCGGCACAUUUGGCACCAACACAGUCAGGUACCAGUUAGGUCAUGAUGCUGGUCCGCAGGGCCUCCCUUGACCCCUCUCUUGCUGCUCUGAGCGACUGUCUUCUCAGUGGUCCUCAAAGUGGGGUGCCUGGGCCAGCCAUGGAGCAUCACCUGAGAACUUGAUAGAAAUGCAGGUUCCUGGCUGCACCCCGGGGUUGCCGGCUCGUGAACUCUGGGGUGGGGCCUGGCGCUCCAAGGAGCCUCCAGGUGGCUCUGAGGCUGCUCAGUUCGAGGCCCACCAUCUCCGGGCUGGUUCUAGGGUCACAGUCGCCGUAUCUACCUCUCAAGGCAUUGGAAGAGCACAGGAGACAGACGAAUCUCUGGCCGGUCUGGGGGUGACAUUUCCCUUCCUCCACACCCCACCCCCAAACCCUGUCUCACACUUUCUUCCUCCCACCUUUUGCCAAGACAGGUAAUAAGUCCCAGACGUCUCUGCAUACAGGCCCCACCCCAUUUCCAGGCCACUCAGACCUAUUCUGGGGCCUUUCUAGGUGAAAGAGAAGCCAACAGCCUUUUGACUCAACAGCAGGCCUGCUAGGAAUUCACCCAGCAUCUGCAUUCUCGGUGGAAUGCCUGAUGUACGCAUAGGGCCGGUCUUGAAGGGGCUGUUUGUAAUUGCAAAGCAGACAAAGCGCGGCAAAACAGAAACGGGAAAUCACCUAAGUGCGUCUUAACAGGGAACUGGUUACAUAAAUGAGGGUGCAUUCUUGACACCCUGGCCUGCCUGACCAUGGGUCCCACAGCUCCUGUGCCUCUGCGGCAGGCCUGGCUCGCUGGGACGCCCUCAGGGCCAGGAGGCCACAGCUGCCCCAUCUGCACCUUCUGCCGCAUGGACCCUCUGCCCCUCACCGGCUCCUGCUGGCCUCGACCAUCACAUCACGUAGGACGCUUGUGACUGCUCUAAAAACACCGGGCUCUCACGCUGUCCCCUCCAAGGUCCCCUCCUUGUGUCCAGCAUCAUUAUGGCUGCCUCCUGCUGGGCUGCCCCUGCCCUGGCCCUCAGGUGCCUGUGGUUUAAAUCUCCUGGCACUGCUGAGCACCAGUCUGGUGUGCAGAUGGAGGUGCCUGAAGCGUAGGAGGAAGCUGAUGGACAGUUUGUCCCUUCACCAGCAGCUGUGUUGUGUUCAAUGGUGGAGACAACCCAUCUGGGCUCUCAGCGACCCCACCCCACAGGCUCUUCCUCAGCAUGACCGGGACACCCACAGGGUGGGCCUGCACCUGCCCUGAGCCUCUGCAGCUUGGGACGUCUCAGCCCGAGGCAGUGGGAUGA